rnacentral:misc_RNA from 1 species
AAAUUACAUAGAAUCUUGUUGCUUGAUAAAUUACAUAGAAUCUUAUGUACUAUUUAUUUAUAUUAAAAUACACACACAGAGAGAAUCUUGUGUAUUAUUUCUUUAUAUUAAAACACACGAGUUCAUUGUGUGGUGUUUCCUUCCACUACUUAUGGAUUGUUAUUUACUUGGCUAACAGAUCAGAUAGAGCAGUCCAAAGGG